GUUCACCUGCUGUCCAUAGCAUGUUUGAUAAGCUGACAUGGGACAGGGGUUCUUUUCACUGUUACAUCAGUUUAUCAAGCCCAUACCUGCACAAC
rnacentral:pre_miRNA from 1 species